rnacentral:rRNA from 1 species
UUGACCUCGGAUCAGGUAGGGAUACCCGCUGAACUUAAGCAUAUCAAUAAGCGGAGGAAAAGAAACCAACAGGGAUUGCCUCAGUAACGGCGAGUGAAGCGGCAACAGC